UACGUAGGGCGCAAGCGUUGUCCGGAAUCAUUGGGCGUAAAGGGUGCGUAGGUUGCUAUUCAAGUCAGUUGUGAAAUCCCCGGGCUCAACCCGGGAAGUGCUUCUGAUACUGUUUAGCUUGAGUACUGGAGAGGAUAGUAGAAUUCCAGGUGUAGUGGUGAAAUACGUAGAUAUCUGGAGGAAUACCGGUGGCGAAGGCGGCUAUCUGCCAUGUACUGACACUGAAGCACGAAAGCGUGGGGAGCAAACAG
rnacentral:rRNA from 1 species